rnacentral:rRNA from 1 species
AGAGUUUGAUCAUGGCUCAGAUUGAACGCUGGCGGCAGGCCUAACACAUGCAAGUCGAACGGUAACAGGAAGCAGCUUGCUGCUUCGCUGACGAGUGGCGGACGGGUGAGUAAUGUCUGGGAAGCUGCCUGAUGGAGGGGGAUAACUACUGGAAACGGUAGCUAAUACCGCAUAAUGUCGCAAGACCAAAGAGGGGGACCUUCGGGCCUCUUGCCAUCGGAUGUGCCCAGAUGGGAUUAGCUUGUUGGUGGGGUAACGGCUCACCAAGGCGACGAUCCCUAGCUGGUCUGAGAGGAUGACCAGCCACACUGGAACUGAGACACGGUCCAGACUCCUACGGGAGGCAGCAGUGGGGAAUAUUGCACAGUGGGCGCAAGCCUGACGCAGCCAUGCCGCGUGUAUGAAGAAGGCCUUCGGGUUGUAAAGUACCUUCAGCGGGGAGGAAGGGAGUAAAGUUAAUACCUUUGCUCAUUGACGUUACCCGCAGAAGAAGCACCGGCUAACUCCGUGCCAGCAGCCGCGGUAAUACGGAGGGUGCAAGCGUUAAUCGGAAUUACUGGGCGUAAAGCGCACGCAGGCGGUUUGUUAAGUCAGAUGUGAAAUCCCCGGGCUCAACCUGGGAACUGCAUCUGAUACUGGCAAGCUUGAGUCUCGUAGAGGGGGGUAGAAUUCCAGGUGUAGCGGUGAAAUGCGUAGAGAUCUGGAGGAAUACCGGUGGCGAAGGCGGCCCCCUGGACGAAGACUGACGCUCAGGUGCGAAAGCGUGGGGAGCAAACAGGAUUAGAUACCCUGGUAGUCCACGCUGUAAACGAUGUCGACUUGGAGGUUGUGCCCUUGAGGCGUGGCUUCCGGAGCUAACGCGUUAAGUCGACCGCCUGGGGAGUACGGCCGCAAGGUCAAAACUCAAAUGAAUUGACGGGGACCCGCACAAGCGGUGGAGCAUGUGGUUUAAUUCGAUGCAACGCGAAGAACCUACCUGGUCUUGACAUCCACGGAAGUUUUCAGAGAUGAGAAUGUGCCUUCGGGAACCGUGAGACAGGUGCUGCAUGGCUGUCGUCAGCUCGUGUUGUGAAAUGUUGGGUUAAGUCCCGCAACGAGCGCAACCCUUAUCCUUUGUUGCCAGCGGUCCGGCCGGGAACUCAAAGGAGACUGCCAGUGAUAAACUGAGGAAGGUGGGGAUGACGUCAAGUCAUCAUGGCCCUUACGACCAGGGCUACACACGUGCUACAAUGGCGCAUACAAAGAGAAGCGACCUCGCGAGAGCAAGCGGACCUCAUAAAGUGCGUCGUAGUCCGGAUUGGAGUCUGCAACUCGACUCUAUGAAGUCGGAAUCGCUAGUAAUCGUGGAUCAGAAUGCCACGGUGAAUACGUUCCCGGGCCUUGUACACACCGCCCGUCACACCAUGGGAGUGGGUUGCAAAAGAGGUAGGUAGCUUAACCUUCGGGAGGGCGCUUACCACUUUGUGAUUCAUGACUGGGGUGAAGUCGAAACAAGGUAACCGUAGGGGAACCUGCGGUUG